GGAUCCAGACUUUGAUUCUGGCUCACGAUGAACGCUAGCUACAGGCUUAACACAUGCAAGUCGAGGGGAAACGACAUCGAAAGCUUGCUUUUGAUGGGCGUCGACCGGCGCGCGGGUGAGUAACGCGUAUCCAACCUGCCCAUCACUUGGGGAUAACCUUGCGAAAGUAAGACUAAUACCCAAUGAUAUCUCUAGAAGACAUCUGAAAGAGAUUAAAGAUUUAUCGGUGAUGGAUGGGGAUGCGUCUGAUUAGCUUGUUGGCGGGGUAACGGCCCACCAAGGCAACGAUCAGUAGGGGUUCUGAGAGGAAGGUCCCCCACAUUGGAACUGAGACACGGUCCAAACUCCUACGGGAGGCAGCAGUGAGGAAUAUUGGUCAAUGGACGAGAGUCUGAACCAGCCAAGUAGCGUGCAGGAUGACGGCCCUAUGGGUUGUAAACUGCUUUUAUAAGGGAAUAAAGUGAGUCUCGUGAGACUUUUUGCAUGUACCUUAUGAAUAAGGACCGGCUAAUUCCGUGCCAGCAGCCGCGGUAAUACGGAAGGUCCGGGCGUUAUCCGGAUUUAUUGGGUUUAAAGGGAGCGUAGGCCGGAGAUUAAGCGUGUUGUGAAAUGUAGAUGCUCAACAUCUGCACUGCAGCGCGAACUGGUUUCCUUGAGUACGCACAAAGUGGGCGGAAUUCGUGGUGUAGCGGUGAAAUGCUUAGAUAUCACGAAGAACUCCGAUUGCGAAGGCAGCUCACUGGAGCGCAACUGACGCUGAAGCUCGAAAGUGCGGGUAUCAAACAGGAUUAGAUACCCUGGUAGUCCGCACGGUAAACGAUGGAUGCCCGCUGUUGGUCUGAAUAGGUCAGCGGCCAAGCGAAAGCAUUAAGCAUCCCACCUGGGGAGUACGCCGGCAACGGUGCAAC
rnacentral:rRNA from 2 species